rnacentral:lncRNA from 1 species
UAAAGUUCAGCACUUCCACACAAUUUCUCUAAAAAAAAAAAAACAAGUGCAGCAUCAUCAGUCAGCUCUUUGAAACAUGUUCUUAGCAUUCUCAUUCUAGAGUAUGAAUCGUGAAUUAACAGUUAGUAGUAGAACGUUAAAAAAAAUAACAACAAUAAUAAUUUAAGAAUCCCCUCAUAGUUUCUGUAACACCUGAGAUUAUUAGCACUUUAUAAAAUAAAUCAUUAUAAGAACAGACAGAAACCUUUGCAGUUUGCAUUGGUGUGUGUAUGGGAAUUAAUGUGGAGUGGUCUAUUUUCAGCGUCAGCUACUCUUCAUUUCCUGAGACCCAUAUCUGAUGUUAGUGAUACAACAGGAGCUAAUUAGUGAAUAGUCAAUAGUGAAUAGUCAAUAGUCAAGAAUACUAGAGACAUCCCACCUUUUUCCCCUACUUCUGAAGGCUCCACAAAUAAACUUCAACAUAUCCAGGAGGAACAGUGUUACAUCACACAGGUUCCUAUGGAAUCAAGACAAGGAUUUUUGGCAUGUAGGAAACACACCUGGCUUCACCAGUGUGACUGAGACAUUGAGCAGUGCAACACAAACUGCUUGUAUUUAACACAUGAACAACCACUGUGGACUGUUCUGUGAGACUGGCAGGAAAUUCUGUACCCACCUCACUGGGACAGCUAU